UGGGAUGACCGUUGUGUCCCACACAGAGAUAAUUUUACUGUAUUAUUUAUCAGCAGUCGGCCGUUGCUGUGUUGUUAUUUUUCCUGGCCAUUUGAAUUAAAUUAAAGUCAAAAUGUUUAGCCGUGAAAGUUUUUUUCCUUUUAUUUUUCGACUGAUUUGCAUAAGCAUCGAAAUCAUCGCCGGGGAUGGCUGACUGGCGGGCGGAAAAACAUGCGUUACGGAACGAUCUGUCCACCAAUUAGAGACGAAGCUUCAUAGCUUUGAUGGCUAUCGCUGGCGCUGGCCAUGCAGUUAACGGUGAUGUUGAUGUACCGUACCAAAGCAGCAACACCAACAGUAACAAAAGCAGUGAAAGACUGAUUGAACAGCGAAUCAAUUGGCAGCACCAUUUCACAUUGUUUGCUGACAUCUUUUUUCCACCUGGCCCUGGCUCGUAUUUUGCCAAUCAAUUGCCACAUUGCGGUGGUCAUGCAAAAAGAAUGCCGUAUCUCUCCAUGUAAGUGUGCGCGUGUGUAUUAUUAAACAACAACUACAGCACAAGCAGAACCACCAACAAAGGCAUCGGAGGGCCAACACCAGCACCAGAGCAGCAAAAAUUUAAUGAAUAAAUAGCAGAAAUUUUUCGGUGAAAGUCGUGGUCAGAAGUAAGCCAUAUUCACACAGCAGCCGUAGCAGCGGAAACACAUCAGGCAACAGAUAUGUAUAUAUUUAUAUGUGAAAUAUUUGCAAUAAACUAAAUUGGUUAACGGUGUCAAGGAAUCAAGGAAAGUGAAAUGCGAUGAUGCAAUUUAGUUUGCAUAAGAAAAAAAAGAAUAAAACCUGAAAUUCGACCAGAGGACUACACGACAGCUUCCUUUCAGAUUAACAUCGGAGCUGCAUAAUUUAAUAAGUAAAAGUAACUUGGAGACAAAACCCACAACACACCCCGAAGAUUUCACAAAACCAUAAAAAUGUCAAGUUAAUAGAACAGAUUUUCCCUUUUACGGUCAUUUGAAUUAAUCCGAAAUUUGCAUAAUAAUGCUGGUACCAAAAAAAGAAGAUUAUGUAUGCAGACUCCGACUCCGACUACGAUUUAGGCCCAAACCGGACUUCCAUCUCAGCCGAUACUCGUACGAGUAUAUGGAGGCGCAGCAUUUCGUAUAAAGAAUUUGCGGUAUUUGGGUUAAAUAUUAAUUUACAUUCGAAACGGGGAGCGCUCAGCUGAUGGCAGCGCAGCAUCAUUGAAAAGUGAAAUUUUGUGGCAGCGACUAAAAUGUAGGCUGCGUGACACUUUCAGUCAGUUUCGGCAUCAGCUUCAGGCCCAGCUCGUCUUGUCUUGGUCAUUUUCCAAGCUCAUCGAACGACGAUUAAUCAGCUAAUUUCUUUAUGAACUUUCAUUUAUGCAGUGGAGUGUGGACCGAAGCCAGCAUUCACACACGUCGUCGUCGUCAUCAUCAUCUUUAAAGUUUUCGUGCUCAUAAACCCAGUCGAAGGCAUUGGGGUUUUAUUGUCAACUGACUGGUAGGAUGCCUAAACGAUAUCCAAUUUAGAGAUUCUAUUUCGCGCAACUACUUCUGUUGUGGUUUAU